rnacentral:rRNA from 1 species
AACGAACGCUGGCGGCAGGCCUAACACAUGCAAGUCGAACGCAUCCUUCGGGGUGAGUGGCGCACGGGUGAGUAACACGUGGGAAUGUACCCUUUGGUUCGGAAUAACGUCUGGAAACGGACGCUAAUACCGUAUGAGCCCUGCGGGGGAAAGAUUUAUCGCCAAAGGAGCAGCCCCCGUCUGAUUAGCUAGUUGGUGGGGUAAAGGACUACAAAGGCGACGAUCAGUAGCUGGUCUGAGAGGAUGAUCAGCCACACUGGGACUGAGACACGGCCCAGACUCCUACGGGAGGCAGCAGUGGGGAAUAUUGGACAAUGGGCGGAAGCCUGAUCCAGCCAUGCCGCGUGAGUGAUGAAGGCCUUCGGGUUGUAAAGCUCUUUCGCACGCGACGAUGAUGACGGUAGCGUGAGAAGAAGCCCCGGCUAACUUCGUGCCAGCAGCCGCGGUAACAC